rnacentral:rRNA from 1 species
GACGAACGCUGGCGGCGUGCUUAACACAUGCAAGUCGAGCGGUAAGGCCCUUUCGGGGGUACACGAGCGGCGAACGGGUGAGUAACACGUGGGUGACCUGCCCUCAGCUCUGGGAUAAGCCUGGGAAACCGGGUCUAAUACUGGAUAUGACUCCAUGACGCAUGUUGUGGGGUGGAAAGCCUUGUGCGGCUGAGGAUGGGCCCGCGGCCUAUCAGCGUUGUUGGUGGGGUGAUGGCCUACCAAGGCGACGACGGGUAGCCGGGCCU